AUUGAACGCUGGCGGCAGGCCUAACACAUGCAAGUCGAACGAGUGGCGGACGGGUGAGUAAUGUCUGGGAAACUGCCUGAUGGAGGGGGAUAACUACUGGAAACGGUAGCUAAUACCGCAUACCAUCAGAUGUGCCCAGAUGGGAUUAGCUAGUUGGUGGGGUAACGGCUCACCAAGGCGACGAUCCCUAGCUGGUCUGAGAGGAUGACCAGCCACACUGGAACUGAGGACAGGGCCAGAAUCCUACGGGAGGCAGCAGGGGGGAAUAUUGCAAAAUGGGCGCAAGCCCGAUGCAGCCAUGCCGCGGGGAUGAAGAAGGCCUUUGGGUUGUAAAGUAAUUUCAGCGGGGAGGAGGUACCCGCAGAAGAAGCACCGGCUAACUCCGGGCCAGCAGCCGCGGGAAUUA
rnacentral:rRNA from 1 species